rnacentral:lncRNA from 1 species
UGCGUCUUCAACAGCUGUCACGGGGGGACACCUGUGCACCUGCAUCUCUCUCCUCUGCUUCGUGAAGGAGGCGGCUUAGGGAAGAUUGCAGAGGUUUCCCAGCCCAGAACAGGGCAACAGAGACAUUCCUCUCACCUUGAAGCUGCUCACAGGAAGCAGAUGGAGCCAUCCGAGUCAGGAUGCUGCCGGUCUCUUCCAGAAGGUCCAGAAGCCCAGGACUGCCCUGACCUGCAGCCCACCCUCAACUGAGCAGUAUAACUAGUGCUGUGAGAAGCCCCACUCCCCAUCCAAGGAACAUCGGAGCAAUGAUUACACCCUCCACGGUUCAGUUCCUGCCAAGGCCUUAAGUAAAAAUGCUACUACUCACUAGGAUCAGAA